rnacentral:rRNA from 1 species
UACGUAGGGUGCGAGCGUUAAUCGGAAUGAUUGGGCGUAAAGGGUGCGCAGGCGGUGAGUUAAGACAGAUGUGAAAGCCCCGGGCUCAACCUGGGAAUGGCAUUUGUGACUGGCUCACUAGAAUAUGGCAGAGGGAGGUAGAAUUCCACAUGUAGCAGUGAAAUGCGUAGAUAUGUGGAGGAAUACCGAUGGCGAAGGCAGCCUCCUGGGUCAAUAUUGACGCUCAGGCACGAAAGCGUGGGGAGCAAACAGG